AGGUAUCUUGGAACUCUUAAAAGAAUAAUUGGGAAUAAAGCUAGUAUUGAGGGUUCUAUAUGUGAAGCUUACUUGAUGACAGAGUCAACACUAUUGUUUUCUCAUUAUUUUGAACCACAUGUCAUGACACACAAUCAUAAUAUGGAUCAAAAUGAUGAUGGUGGUAUUGUGGAAGAUGUUGAAGAAAAUUUAUCAAUAUUCACCCAUCCCGGUCGAUUAUAGGGAGAAUAAAAAAAGAGGAAUCUAACUCUUGAAGAAAUCAAGGCUGCCCAAACUUACAUUUUGCUAAAUUGUGAAGAGGUUGAGCCAUUUGUGAGAUAUGGCUAGAGGUAGAGGUCGAGGUUGCGGAAGCACAGGGCGUAGAGGCAAGUCUGCAGUUACUGCAAAUAUACCUACUGUGCCCACUCCUACUAUUGUUAGUCCUCAAGCUGAUGGCAUAGGUGGUCAAAAUGAUAGAAAUCAAGUUCAGCCAUUGAUUCCUUAAAUUACAUCAACGGUUCAAAUUUUUGGUGAUGGUAGCAACCAUACAACACCUAAAUCAUCUCCCACUGCUCCAAAUCAGAUCAACACAAUAGCUAAAUGUAACACCUCGUAUUCAAGCACAGGUACCUCAGCUCAUACACCGCACAAGUAGGAGCCAGGAUAUCCAGCU